UNGCUCCAAGCUUCUUCAGAGGCCAUCUU
rnacentral:piRNA from 1 species